UCUCUCUCUUUAUGUUAGCUCGUGGGCACGGUGGAGAGCUCGAGCUCGGGAGGUUUUCGUCGUCGACGUCGCGCCGCGGUGCUGUUCGAGCGUGCGUUCGUCGUCGUAGCGUUGUGAGGAGGCCGGGCGAAGGUGUGAUUCCGCCGUUCUCGACGUCGCGCUGGGUUGGAUUUAGCUAGCGAGGUGGGUUUAUCAUCGGAAUCCUACUCCUAUAGUAUUAUUGGUCAACAUGUAUCGUUAAUAUUAUAAGUUGUUAUUGUUUAGCUCAAAUUCAGGAGUAGGUAUGUUUUAGACAUAUUAACUGAAUUGGGAGCAUGUUAUUAGCUGUUAUUAAUCAUACAUGUUGGACUUGGAUAAAACAUAGGAGAAAACCAGUGUUCGGAAUCUGUCAUAUGUUAAACUACUUGAUUUACCCUUAGGGGCCGUUGUACUUUUAUACAGUUGCAGUGUUCUUGUGGUGACUACCCCAAGUAGUCUAAUUUACUGUUACACUCAUGCUAGGAUGCCGAAUCUAUUUUUACAGUAGUGUUUAGACUGUUCCGGACUAGUGGGUGGAGUCGCGGUUGACGGUGGACCCAGAUUCUGUAUUUCUCAUCAGAUUGUGCCGAUGGCACUUGAGUUAUGAUUGUUAGAUCUGUUAGACCAUUCUGCUUUGACUAUAGCCUGUGAGAGCCUGAUUGAGNUACAACCAUCAACCUUGUACCGGUAUGUACCAGUAUAAGACCAGUCUUGUUCCGGUACAAGCUCUGCUGCAGGCUACCCGAGAGCUGACCAAAAAUUUCGGUUUUGGGAUUUUGGUGCCAAGUCUCACUCCAACAUCCUCGGGAUGUGUGACAGGGGUCGGAACACUAUCCACGACCCUCCAAAAACUGUGGAAAGGCUCCAAACACAGAUCAAACACUCGAAUCUUACGAUUUGCAAGAUCCAGUGCAUUACAACAAGGUUUCUACAAUUGUAAGAAAAUCAAAACCAAAGAUUUAGGGCAUAAAACCAAGCUCUAACCCUAAUCUUACAAGAAAACCUUACUUUUGCCCAAAGCCCUCCAAGGUCCACCUUGUAGGAAAGCUCCCAAGCCUUCAAAAACUUUAAAUCUCCUCCAAAAUCCUCUCCAAUCCCCUCAUUCCCACCUUGGUAGAGAGCUUCUAGAGAAAGAGGGAGAGAAAUGAGUUGGAGGGGUGUUUGCUGCUGUGAACCAGAUGGGAGGGGUGUGUGGGGUCUUAUAUGGGUUGCCAAAUUGCAAAAAUACCCUCCCUCUUUUCAUAUUUGCAGCAAACCAAAAUUUACUGCGAGGUUCAUUUAGUACCGGUACAAUCUCAGUUUGUCACCGGUAACACGAUCGCGCAACAGCCAAACCCGAGAGCCGCUGUUUCGGGUUUUACACUUGGUACCGGUACACACCAGGGGUGUCACCGGUUUAACAGCCGAAUUUUCUCAAACCCGAGAGCUGCUUCUCUCGGUCAGCUGUCUGGUACCGGUACAAGCUCAAUGCAUUACUGGUAACAAAAGUUCCAAACUUAAAUUUUCGCAUCGUUUCGACUCUAAUUCGCGCCGAGCAAUGCUAAAACCUUUCUAACUUAUUUAGAGCUCACUUUUAACCCUUCCAACAUUGUUGGAAUGCUAAAUGAAACUUGUUCAACUAUUUCUCUCGAACACUUUAGUCAAUUUGGCUAAAGUUCGAUGUAUUCAACAGGGUUUUGGUAUAUUACAUUCUCCACCCCUUAAAAUUAGUUUCAUCCGCGAAAAUAACACAUACCUAAUUCCAUACCUCAAUCCAGCUCUUCAAAGAGAUGAGGAUGACGCUCUCUCGUCACAUCCUCAAGCUCCCAAGUAUCUUCCCUAUCGUCAUGGUUGCACCAAUGGACUUUAACAUACGGAAUUUCGCAGUUCCGUAGUUUUCUCACCUCUCGCUCGACGAUAUAUGCCGGAAACUCCUCAUAAGUCAUAUCCUCUUGAAGCUCAAUCGGUUCAUACGAGAGAAUAUGCUCAGAAUCGUGAACAUACUUGCGGAGAUUUGACACAUGAAAUACAUUGUGAACUCUCGCAAGCCUCGGUGGUAAUGCAAGUUGUAAGCCACCAUACCGGCCCGUUCUAAUACUUCAUACGGUCCAACGUACCGGGGGCUUAGUUUCCCACGGACUCCAAACCACUUUACUCCUCUCAUCGGCGAUACCUUUAAAAAUACGCGCUCUCCAACCGCGAACUCUAUAUCCUUUCUCCGCUUGUCAGCAUAACUCUUUUGCCGAGAUUGCGCCGUCGCAAGUCGUUUGCGAGCGAGGCGAACUUUCUCCUCCGCCUCCCGCACCACAUCGGGGCCAAGAGUAACUCUCUCGCCCACAUCGCUCCAAUGGAUAGGAGAGUGACACUUCUUUCCAUAAAGGGCCUCGAAUGGUGCCAUCGCGAUACUCUCUCGGUAACUAUUUGUGAGAUACUUAACCUUAGCAAAUUAGCAAGGUUACAGUAUAAGUUAUGCUUGAUUGAGCUCGAGACGUUUUGCGCAAAAUAGACGUAAAAAACAGACUUCGAAACUCAAGUUUCAAAGUAGAGGACUAAAGUUGAAUAUCGUAGUAGGUGAGGGGCUUUUGGAUAAUUGUCGCCUUUCAACCUUAUCCCACCGCCUUAAUUAGGAUAAGGUGGCAGGUGCUACUAAUUAAGGUUGCUAUCCUCUCUCUCUCUCUUUAUGUUAGCUCGUGGGCACGGUGGAGAGCUCGAGCUCGGGAGGUUUUCGUCGUCGACGUCGCGCCGCGGUGCUGUUCGAGCGUGCGUUCGUCGUCGUAGCGUUGUGAGGAGGCCGGGCGAAGGUGUGAUUCCGCCGUUCUCGACGUCGCGCUGGGUUGGAUUUAGCUAGCGAGGUGGGUUUAUCAUCGGAAUCCUACUCCUAUAGUAUUAUUGGUCAACAUGUAUCGUUAAUAUUAUAAGUUGUUAUUGUUUAGCUCAAAUUCAGGAGUAGGUAUGUUUUAGACAUAUUAACUGAAUUGGGAGCAUGUUAUUAGCUGUUAUUAAUCAUACAUGUUGGACUUGGAUAAAACAUAGGAGAAAACCAGUGUUCGGAAUCUGUCAUAUGUUAAACUACUUGAUUUACCCUUAGGGGCCGUUGUACUUUUAUACAGUUGCAGUGUUCUUGUGGUGACUACCCCAAGUAGUCUAAUUUACUGUUACACUCAUGCUAGGAUGCCGAAUCUAUUUUUACAGUAGUGUUUAGACUGUUCCGGACUAGUGGGUGCCAUCGCGGUUGACGGUAGACCCGGAUUUGGUCAUUUUGAGAUCCGAUUGUGCCGAGGGCACGUGACUAGUGGUUAGUAGCCAAUUGGACUUAUUUUCUUGACUUUAGCCUGUGAGAGCCUGAUUGAGCUCGACAGAGAUACGCUUGCAUCCUCGGUUGGGUCGCGCCCACGAGUUGCCGCUCCGGAGUUUGGCUUUGUGCUUUCGCGUUGAUGUCACUGACUAGUUUUGCUAUCCACGGACUGUUUUAUGUGGAGGUAGCGUGGCUUAGACAGGCGGGACGGGUGCAUUCACAAUCCCCGGGACGGGUGUGUUCACAGUCCCUAUUGAGAUUGGGUCAGAUUUGACAGUUACUACAGUUGGAUAUAGUGUAGUGGCAGGUAGCUGUAGAUUUCUUUCCAGCUUUAACUACUAGUUUGUUUCUGACUGUAGUCUUAGUGGGUGGGCCGAUGAUGUUGAGGGCGGUACCCACUGAGGACUACUUGUUUUUACAGUAGUUCUCACGCCCAGUUGUUACCACUGUUUUGCAGAGCCACCGGUUUCAGUUGCUGCGCCUUCCGAGGCUGAUCGAGGCAAGGGCGUCGCGAGUUAGAGCCCUACCCGACUAGUUGCUGAGAUAGAGGAUCCACCACUGCAGAUAGUUUCGGUUUAUUUUGUUGAGUUCAUGUACAUACAGUUGUUAUAACUCGCUUGAGCGAGUACCUUGUAUAGCGUUUUGUUGUAUGUAUGUGAG
rnacentral:lncRNA from 1 species